rnacentral:misc_RNA from 1 species
GGAGUCCUGUUACAUCAAAUUCAAACACAAUCAUUUAGUUUGCUCGCAUGUCCAUCUAUGUUGUGAAAUUAAUUGGACUAAAUGCCCCACAUUGAAAAUAUACGAAAUGGAAUGGCAAAAUAUAAAUAGUUAGGGUUACAACAUUGAAAUGGCUAGUCAUUUUAACAUAUAAUGCAACUUAUGUAAAUCUAGACUAAAAUGGAAAGUGUAAUUUGCCCUCCUUUGGUACCACCAUUUAUCUAAUUGCAACGUCCUAUAUCCUCAAAGAAUCCAACUGUAAAAUCUUUCAUAACUCUCAUUCAUUGCUACUAACAUUAUUC